rfam:Claviceps purpurea 20.1, WGS project CAGA01000000 data, contig: scaffold00003
GGGCGAAUGGUUUAGUGGUAUAAUACUCCCUUAGCACGAACGCAACGAUUGGGAGUGGUCCAGGGUUCGAUUCCCUGUUCGUCCA